GUCCGUAGACACUGGAAUAGCAGAUUUGAUUCCCUAACUGCAAGUAGUUUAUGUUUUGCACACCUGUUUUCAUCUACUUAGUUAUUGGAAAGACUGCUAGAAAAAUAAAGACCAAUCGAGUGAAACUGACUCUUUGUAUUUUUGCAGUGCUGGUUGCUAUUUGUAACCUUCAUUUUCCUGACAAUUCUUGUGAAUUUAUAAUCUGUAGAACACCUGUUGUUAUAUGGGAUAUUGCUUUGGUAAUGUUUUCAUUAAGGCAUCAGUAGGGUAAAAUAUGUUCAUAAAGUGUGUUGUUAAUUGUUUGAUUAGGCCAACUUGGCCGGUUGUCCUCAGCAACAGCUCUAGAAGUGUAACAUAAUAGUGUAUGGGCACGUCAAAAGCAGAAUUAAUUAAGGUAUCGAAGUUGGUUCCUCUCUGAGAUGGAUGCUUUUUGUUGGUACAAAUACAUGAAUAUGGCCAGUGCGUUGUGACAGGCUCGAAUUGAUCGAAUCGGGCCUGGUUGAAUUUAUUGCUGAAUGGAGCUAAAUAGACUAUCAGUCCAAAUUAUCACCACCGACUCUGUAUAUUAGUGUCUGCCUCUCCUGUUGUGUUGUCUUUUCCAUCCAGUCAUGGUUCUUGCAGUAUGAGUCUCACGGGCAGUAAUUAAAUUGUCAUUCUGCUUUUUGAUCACUACCUUCCUCUGAGAGUUUUCUUUUUUAGUGGUCUAUGGACAUUUUCGCCGGCAAAUUUCUAUAAUCCCACUAUCAUCAACCUGCAUGCAUGUAAUAUCUUUUUUAUUUUCGAAAGGUAAUCUAUGCAUCAGUACUAAUUUGUCAAAAAAAAUUGCUUCUUCAAGAAAAUCACCUGGACUAGCUGCAUGUUGUUAAACAUUCUUAUAUAGUUAUAUCCCAUGGAUUAUCAUCAUAUUCUCCGAGUAAUUUAGAAGUUGAUCCUUGAUUUGUUUGACCACCAAGAAGCAACCCUCUGUAUGAGAAUCCUUCCUGCAACAAUUUCAUAGCAAUUUCAUAUUAUUUCUCUUAUGCUAAUUGAAACAUAUUUUUCUCAUUUUUUCUAAUAGUAUUGGUGCAUGCCUGUGUGAAGAUUCAUCUUGAACAUCGUGUUGCUGGAAAGCUUUGUGAGUAUAUCCCUGAAUCAAUCUGCAGUACAAUAUUUGCAAUUUCAAUUAGCGUAGAAUCAUAGCAUGGUAGAAGUUACAACAUAAGACAAUUCUGAUUGAAGCAACAAUGAGUGACUAUCUACAUACAUCGUAGAUAGACCCCCAGAGAUGGGAACCUCAGUCUCUCAUUUCUCAUUCUUCUCAGUUUUUAUCUCUUUUCAUUGUUUAGCUCAGUGUAAUCAUUUUUAUCUCAGUUUAUCAUUGUUUAUCAUUUACCUCAGUCUCUCUCUCUGAUUAUAGUAUUCAUUCUUUAGUUUCUUCAUUACUACUUUCUUUUCUUUAUUUCUUCAUGUUAGUCUCUUAUUUUCUCAGUUUUUCAUUUUAAUAGAGCUGCUGCCGGCGUCCUUUUCAUUAUCUCUGUCACUUAGUCCUAUAAUUUAUCUCAUUUUGUCUCUUUAUUUUUAUUUUCUCCUCAGUAUUCAGGCAUCUUUGCUCAGUCCCUCCUUCUCUGUCUCUUCUUCUCAGUUUUAUUUGUUCAGUCUUUCCUUCUUCAGUCUCUCAGUUUAAUUUGCUCGUUUUAAUUUAUUUACUCAGUCUUUAUUUCAGUCUCUUCUCAUAUUUAUUUGCUCAGUCUUUUAUUCCUUGGUCUCUCAGUCUUAUUCUCUCAGUGCUCCUUUUUCCAUUUUCAUUCCUCCGAUUUCCUCAGUUCAUAUGAAAAUUCUAUGAAGUUUCUGAUUUUUUAGUCUUGCAUUCUUACUUGUAUCUUAACAUGGGGACUUCUGCCUACGUCUAUACUUAAGUUAGAUGGAUGCGGGCUCUCUCUCAGGUAUAGAGAUGUUGAACGCCCUAUUUAGCCCCUCUUGUCUCUGUUAGGACAAGUUGUUGUUUGGCAAUAUUCAACCAUUCAGUCUGGCGCUCCAAUAAUCAGGUAUCUCGCUUGGGUGGAAAUUGCUAAUAAUAUACAACAUCAUGCUACAAAUGAAUUGUUCUCAACCACCUGUAAUUUGUUAUCAUGUCAUCUCAUUCGUUGUUAAUCUCAUUUAUUGAUGAUCUCAUUCAAUUUUAUUUUCUCCAGUCAAUUUGCAGUACCUCAUUAGUUUGUUUCUCAGUAUAUUAUUGCCUCAGUUGUUUUCUUAAGUCUCUCAAUGAUGAUUCAUCAAGCAUUGCAAAAUGUUUGAUCAUUUCAUUUUUGUUUUGUAUCUUGAAUCUUAAGUUACCCGUUGAUAAAAUCAGACAAUAUUGGCUGCUUAAACGAUGAUGAACAACAUCGCUGAUGACGGUAGAUUUUGAUGGUGGAUACAAGUCCACUUUUGCCAUAGAUCAGAGGAGGAGAUCAAACAGUGGAUGCUUGUUCGGUUCUACAAGGAACAACAAGAAAUCGUAUAAGCUGGACAUGCAUUUCCUAACUCGGUACAGUACUGAGUACUAAGCUGUGAUAAGGCAAGCCAGAGAUCUCAGGAAAUUCUACCCCCUGGUAUAUGUCCUCCGCUCCUACUCUAUGAAAUAUGAACACAUCUUCAUGCCAUGUUACUACAUCUGUUUCAAUUGAUCAAUAAGCUGAUAACAAAUAGCAGAAUAGUAGCUGUUUUAUGAGUUGCCUUCUUCCUAGCUUCUUUUCUCCAUACAGUCGUAUCAUGAUCAUGUGGCAAACAUAUAGCUAUAGAAACAUAAACUUUGGCGGUUUUUUAUCAGUGCUCCACCAAGCAAAGUAGGCUUAGGUCAUACUAGCAUCCAUUGUAGUUUUACCCUAUGACCGCCUGGUGACAUAGGAAAUUUUUGAAUCAUUCUUAAAUUGACAGAAAGAGUCACAGAAACCGAGAGGUGGCAGCAGCAUAGUAAGGCUGGUGGCAUAAUAUCAUCCCUUUCUUCAGUUUUAGCUCAUAGCCAUUUUUUGAAAUAUGUUGGACGUGCAUAUGACAAUUAACAUGACUGGCCUAGGGAUAUGCCCGUACACCGAAGGAUGUUGUGGUUUUCACUACUUGUUGAUACCAUCAAGCAUUUACCUUGCAGACCCAAGACAAUUCGGUGGGAGAUGUACACGAUUGAUCAA